AGUUUUUAAAAGAUCAAAGAUUUAAGUUGAUGCAGUUGACUGUAGUUUGAGUGAAGUGUACAUGAUUCAGCACGUGUAAGGGUAAUCUGCCACACAGUUUAACAUGAUAGCAGCCUAAUAUGUCAAUCAUCGUCUUUCUGUACUUUUGUUGGAAGGUCAUGACCUAUCAGCCAAUGUAAUUACAAUCCCAGGUAGAGGGGCGGGGCUUAGAUGUAACCUGCAGAGAUCCAGUCAGAGAGACAGAGACGCUAAGUGAACGGACUUCGUGAGGUUUAGUAGGUUGUAGAAGGACAUUGUUAUCCAUUACUGAGGCUGACAACCAGUUAUGCUGUGUUUUGGCAUAUUGAAAUCGACAAGAGGAGACGGACAUUUGUGAGUGUAAAAGAGAGAGGAUCGGGGAAGCUCCUCUGGACCACCCAGAGAGCGGUUUUCCAUCCUGCUGGUGUGAUGUAGACUGUCGCUGCUGGUUUCUGUUCUGCUGAUCUUCCUGCUGUGGUUUACCCGGUGCUCUGUCUGCUGCCAUCGCCAAGUUCGCCUUUUCCAUAGAUCCCCUUGACUGGGAUUCUGACUCCCCUCAUCCGCUCCAUCUACAACUUCCUGUAAGGGAGAUCAGCUCUCCAUCGCAGCCCUGCAUGGCAGUGAAGAAAAGAAUCUCCUGAACCAUUCCUGCUUAACUCCCCUCCACUGGACCUUGCACAUUUUUUUCCAUCUCAACAUCAAACACAUUGAACGAUACUCAAAAAUGUAUAUAUAAAUUGCCCAGCCAUACGUCUGCCCAAACUUACUUUUCCUGACACAUUUAACAUUAACUUGUACAUAAUACAUCCCCAUACACUGGAGUAUCUCAUGAGUACAGACGCCCAUCAAUACGCUGUUGCAGGAGAGGUGAAUGACACCAAGAUAUGUCAGUUGAAGAAAAACAAAUGUAGAGUACCGUAAAACUUCAAAUAAUAGCCCGGGCUUCUAUUUACCCAAAUCGCCGAAAUGCACCGGCUUGUAUUUGAGACAGGCGUCUAUAAGAGACAGGCCUUUAAUUCACCAGUUUCUCAGUGAAGUGCUUGGCGUCUUUCUGGGCUACAGUUGUGCGUCUUCUGACUGAAAAGUCGUUGCGCUUCAG